rnacentral:tRNA from 1 species
UCCCUGGAGGACUAGUGGCUAGGCCUCGGCACGCUCACCACUGUGGCCCAGGUUCGAUUCCUGGCCAGGGAA